rnacentral:rRNA from 1 species
AUGAACGCUAGCGACAGGCUUAACACAUGCAAGUCGAGGGGCAUCAUGAGGUAGCAAUACCUUGAUGGCGACCGGCGCACGGGUGAGUAACGCGUAUGCAACCUGCCCGAUACCGGGGUAUAGCCCAUGGAAACGUGGAUUAACACCCCAUAGUACUUUUAUCCUGCCUGGGAUGUGAGUUAAAUGUUCAAGGUAUCGGAUGGGCAUGCGUCCUAUUAGUUAGUUGGCGGGGUAACAGCCCACCAAGACGAUGAUAGGUAGGGGUUCUGAGAGGAAGGUCCCCCACAUUGGAACUGAGACACGGUCCAAACUCCUACGGGAGGCAGCAGUGAGGAAUAUUGGUCAAUGGACGUAAGUCUGAACCAGCCAAGUCGCGUGAGGGAAGACUGCCCUAUGGGUUGUAAACCUCUUUUAUAAGGGAAGAAUAAGUUCUACGUGUAGAAUGAUGCCUGUACCUUAUGAAUAAGCAUCGGCUAACUCCGUGCCAGCAGCCGCGGUAAUACGGAGGAUGCGAGCGUUAUCCGGAUUUAUUGGGUUUAAAGGGUGCGUAGGCGGUUUAUUAAGUUAGUGGUUAAAUAUUUGAGCUAAACUCAAUUGUGCCAUUAAUACUGGUAAACUGGAGUACAGACGAGGUAGGCGGAAUAAGUUAAGUAGCGGUGAAAUGCAUAGAUAUAACUUAGAACUCCGAUAGCGAAGGCAGCUUACCAGACUGUAACUGACGCUGAUGCACGAGAGCGUGGGUAGCGAACAGGAUUAGAUACCCUGGUAGUCCACGCCGUAAACGAUGCUCACUGGUUCUGUGCGAUAUAUUGUACGGGAUUAAGCGAAAGUAUUAAGUGAGCCACCUGGGGAGUACGUCGGCAACGAUGAAACUCAAAGGAAUUGACGGGGGCCCGCACAAGCAGUGGAGUAUGUGGUUUAAUUCGAAGCAACGCGAAGAACCUUACCAGGUCUUGACAUCCUACUAACGAGAUAGAGAUAUGUUAGGUGCCCUUCGGGGAAAGUAGAGACAGGUGGUGCAUGGUUAUCGUCAGCUCGUGUCGUGAGAUGUUGGGUUAAGUCCCGCAACGAGCGCAACCCUUAUCCUUAGUAGCCAGCGGUUCGGCCGGGCACUCUGGGGAGACUGCCGGAGAUAAUCCGGAGGAAGGUGGGGAUGACGUCAAAUCAGCACGGCCCUUACGUCCGGGGCUACACACGUGUUACAAUGGCCGGUACAGAGGGCCGCUACCAGGUGACUGGAUGCCAAUCUCAAAAGCCGGUCGUAGUUCGGAUUGGAGUCUGUAACCCGACUCCAUGAAGUUGGAUUCGCUAGUAAUCGCGCAUCAGCCAUGGCGCGGUGAAUACGUUCCCGGGCCUUGUACACACCGCCCGUCAAGCCAUGGAAGCCGGGGGUGCCUGAAGUCCGUAACCGCGAGGAUCGGCCUAGGGCAAAACUGGUAACUGGGGCU